UUCUGUUCCACACGGAGCGGCGCUAGAAACACCGCUUGCCGUGUAAGCGCACGCCGGAUUGGCCACCGUCUCCUGCCGCCGUACGUGGUAGUGGAGGAUGCUUGGUGAAGUCUCUUCUCGGCUGCUGCGCACAUCCCUCCUCUCCCCAUUCUCUCCUCUUCGGUUUUCUUGGGUUUCCUUCACCGUUCGGCUGCGCAUUGCCUUCCCGUCGGAGCUACUUGCCUCAACGGUUUGGUCGGCCGCGUGCGCUCGGUCGGGAGGCCCUAGGGCCUCCACUUUAUCUGCGAAGGUGAUCCAAUGAAAGCCUUCUAGAUUACCUCCGAUCCCAUCGCUCCAAUCCCUAUUUCCGUCCGACCUCUCUCAUCUAGCCUUCGCCUCCUCCAAAAUCCACAAUAUGGUGUGCCGCUGAUAUGAUUUUCCCCUCCCUCCUCACUAGAAAUCGUUUCUUCCAUUGGUGACCAUGGUAAUCCUCACCUCCUCCACCCUUAGGUACCUUCCUAGACGCUAUCCUCGCAUCUUUGACCAAUAGCCACAACCAGGGUCUGCAUCACGGCACGGGGACCUAGCCUCACAAUCUAAGGUGAAGCAACAGCCAUGGCUGCUAUUAUGCGAGAGGACCAUAGCUGUAACUGCUGAAUACAUUACUGCCUUGCCUUUUCUGGUAUGGUAACUGCUCUGGUAAUCAGAGAAAAUAGGAUGCAGACAGACUCAGAACGCCAUCUUCUCGAGCACAUGAUCUACACAAGUAGCCAAUUCUGCACAAAGUUAAGUAAACUCUAAACUAUAUACAUUGAAUUUUGCUUCCCAAUAGCAGUGUAGAAGAUAAUAGAUUUUCUAAUUGCUUUUCUUUGUAUAUGCUCAUUACUGUCCUUGGUUUGUCCUUAUUCAUAACAAGAUUGUUUGCCCAUCCUUUUUCUCUACAAGAUGGGCACAUUUAAAUGAACUAUUUAUCAUUAAUCCAUGAUGGAGAUAAUGCGUUGAAAGCUCAGUUAGUCUGUUGCUUAUUAAUUUAAGUUAACCAUUUUUCUUAGGUCAAUUAUUAUCUUACAUUAACACAAUAGAGAAAAAUUUUCACUUUUGAGAGGAUUCAACACAAUGUUUCAUUCAAACAAGCGCCUUCAGCAACUGUUCAUAGAAGUGCAUUCUUCUUCCGGAGCAAUGUACAAUGAUUUAGGAUUUGACAAAGUAAUUUUCAAUUUAUCAGAACUGAUUUCUCAUAAUUACAUCUUCAUUUCAUAUUGGCCAGAGCAUUGCCAAUGAGCGCGCUAUAACUGUGGUAUCCCAAUCAGUGGCACUAAGUUUUAGGUUGACUGCAAUGCUUUUUCUCUGCAGUUGCUCCUAACUGCAAUUUCUUUUUGUCAAGCCUCAUUGAUGUAUUCAACAAGUAUCAGUUGCUGAAGCAAGUUCUGCUGCAGCACAAAUCUAACAGUGUCAGGUUCUCAUGUUCUUCUGGUUAUACUUAGCAUUCUUUAAUGUCAAUUUAUCACAUUUCUGGUUAUAGUUUCUUACUCUUUUUUUACAGCAUCUGUAUGAAACAACAACAGUCAUUUCAUCAUUCUUUCCUGCUGGUAGGAAAAAUGUGGACUCAUAACAAAUGUCCAAAAUUGGUGUGUUUCAUUUGACCUAAAUAGUAAAAAGAUAGGCAUUAGUACAGUUAGACAUGGCUUGUGGGUAAUUAGGCUUACCUACAUGGUCAUUAACUUAGCUAUAAAGUUGUUGUUACUUGACAAGAUCAGUUAACAGUGAAUUGCCAGAACUAAGGCUUACAACUGGUACAUCACUUCAGAGAACAUACUUACUUAAACCCGCAAUUUGCAUGUACCGUAUUCUUCAAAUACGUUAUAUAAAAUAGGGUCUUAAUUCCUUUACAUGCAAUAAUUCAUAAAGUCUGAAUUCAUCUUCAUCAGUGCUUUGGUCACAACCAAUUGAAGCAGUAGUUGUAGAUAUUUCUUACCACACACAUUUUUUAUUGUAGUGUUCAAAUAAAAUAAAUUCACUCUAAAUAUUUGCUUGACUAAAACUCAGUUACCUUUAUUGCAUUUCAGGAUUUUGUUAUAACCUGAAACAUAUUUUUUCGACCCUUUAUAAAGUUACAUGUCCAUAUUAUAUAUUCAUAUUAAUAUUAGUUUAUUCCAAACUACAGUACAAAUAAAGAAUUUAACCGUUUGGUAGUAAUCAGUUGUUGAGCAAAGCUCCCAAAUAGCAUGUGUAAUCAAGUUCUAUUGUGUUGUAUUCAUGCUCUCAAAUGGUGGUUACAUCUUUAUGCCACAUUAACUUAGCUAAGCAUUGACAUUUGACAAGUGAAGUCCUUACAUGAUUACAUAUGAUUUAAUCUUUGUAUAGAUAAGUUAUAUAGCAUAUCCAUAGGUUUUAGUUUUGACUUACACAAAGAAACUGCUAUAUUUAGUCACUGAUUAAUUCAUUUAUUUGUUGAGUUAUUUCUCUCCUGUUGACUGCACUAAUAAUUGGUGCUUUAUUCACUAGGUCAACAUCUUCUCUGUUUAUAUAUACCUUACCUUACCCAUCUUUACGGAAUCAGUCACUGCACUUGCAUCUUUCCCUUUUCUCCAUUGAUACUAUCCUCAAUAUAUUAGUGUGGUAACACCGGUAUAUGUUCUAUCGAAUUGUAUGAUAGGUGAUGCCUUGCUGAAUGAUAUUGGCACGAUUGGAAGGAUAAUAGAGCAAAGAUUUACCUUUUGUUUUUAUGGUGUCCUGGCCAUGGCCAAACACGGGAGCUCUCCAUACAUUAGUUAAUUUUGCCUAAUUCUAAUACCAAUGUAAUUGCAAGUUGACAUUGAUUUCAGACACCACUUUGUGUAAAGAUAUUCUGUAGAAGUUCUUUUAUCCUACUUCAACCAUUACAUGCCGAAGCAAACAUGUUUA